rnacentral:rRNA from 1 species
GAUGAACGCUGGCGGCGUGCCUAAUACAUGCCAGUCGAGCGAACAGACGAGGAGCUUGCUCCUCUGACGUUAGCGGCGGACGGGUGAGUAACACGUGGAUAACCUACCUAUAAGACAGGGAUAACUUCGGGAAACCGGAGCUAAUACCGGAUAAUAUCUUGAACCGCAUGGUUCAAUAGUGAAAGACGGUUUUGCUGUCACUUAUAGAUGGAUCCGCGCCGCAUUAGCUAGUUGGUAAGGUAACGGCUUACCAAGGCAACGAUGCGUAGCCGACCUGAGAGGGUGAUCGGCCACACUGGAACUGAGACACGGUCCAGACUCCUACGGGAGGCAGCAGUAGGGAAUCUUCCGCAAUGGGCGAAAGCCUGACGGAGCAACGCCGCGUGAGUGAUGAAGGUCUUCGGAUCGUAAAACUCUGUUAUUAGGGAAGAACAAAUGUGUAAGUAACUAUGCACGUCUUGACGGUACCUAAUCAGAAAGCCACGGCUAACUACGUG